rnacentral:rRNA from 1 species
CUCAGUUGAUCCCGCCGGAACUGACUGCUAUCGGAUUGGUACUAAGCCAUGCGAGUCGUUGUACAAUACAAUGCGAACUGCUCAGUAACACGUAGUUAACCUAACCUAUGGAUGGGGAUAACCUCGGGAAACUGAGAAUAAUACCCAAUAGAUCACAGUGCCUGGAAUGGCCUGUGAUUGAAAUGAUUUAUCGCUGUAGGAUGGGACUGCGGCCUAUCAGCUUGUUGGUGAGGUAAUGGCCCACCAAGGCUAUAACAGGUACGGGCUCUGAGAGGAGGGGCCCGGAGAUGGGUACUGAGACACGGACCCAGGCCCUAUGGGGCGCAGCAGGCGAGGAACCUUUGCAAUGUGCGAAAGCACGACAAGGUUAAUCCGAGUGUCUCCUGCCCUUUAAAAAAGGAAGUCCUUUUGUUCCAGUUUGUAGAAAUCCACUGGUGAAUAAGGGGUGGGCAAGUUCUGGUGUCAGCCGCCGCGGUAAAACCAGCACCUCGAGUGGUCAGGAGGUUUAUUGGGCCUAAAGCAUCCGUAGCCGGUUGCAUAAGUUUCCGGUUAAAUCUAUGCGCUUAACGUAUAGGCCCGCGAAAAUCCUGUGCCGCUAGGGAGUGGGAGAG